AACGUAGGUUCCGAGCGUUAUCCGGAUUUACUGGGCGUAAAGCGCGUUCAGGCGGUUUGGCAAGUCGGGCAUGAAAUCUCUCGGCUCAACCGGGAGAGGUUGUCCGAUACUGCUGGACUUGAGGGCAGUAGAGGGUGGUGGAAUUCCGGGUGUAGUGGUGAAAUGCGUAGAUAUCCGGAGGAACACCAGUGGCGAAGGCAGCUCGCUGGGACGGUACUGACGCUGAGGCGCGAAAGCGUGGGGAGCAAACAGG
rnacentral:rRNA from 1 species